GUGCCUGUCUCCGAAAUGGGUGCUGCCUAGUUACUACCAGUUACUACCACUAGGGCACUACUACCACUACACUGCCAGAAGGGGGCGUUAACCACCGGAUGACCGGUGUCGAUCAGGUCCCCUUUCCGCCCAUACGCCCACCUUUCCACACACGGCGUCUCCUUUUUCACAAUCUCGGGUCCCGGCACUUUACAAAUUUCUUUGUAAGGUGGCCCUGGAGAGGCUGAACUACCUUAGCCUUCGAAAAGACUACCUUACAAAGGUACAAACACAAAGUGUUUGGGUAUACAUUAUAGAAGUAUUUAUCAGCUUUAUAUAAUGGCAAAGUGUAGUGUACUCAUGCAGAGUGUUUAGCUUUAAUUUAGCUUUAAUAUAAUUUAGCACCACCCUAACGGCAAAUUGUAUUAAUGAUCCAUAAACAUAUAAUAAAUUCCCACGACAUAAUGACACCUGUCACCUGGCAGCCUGUCACGCAGAGAUUCCAAUUCCACGGGUUUUAACUCCACGUCGGAACACAACUUUUAUACCCGGUAGUCAGUGGUAAAUCUGUACCUUAGUGGUUUUUUCUGAAAUUUUACAGUUUACAUAUUUUCUACAUAUGUAUGUUAUCUACAUCUACAUCACUUCUCACGCCAACACGAUCUUUUAGCUUGCCCGCCUCCCCUAGAGCCUCACACUGCACGAAGCAGAGUGUGGAAUGAGAGAAAGUGCAAAAAAAUAAAAAAAAGCUGCUGGACAGGGUGUAUUUAGCCACUGAAAAUUAACUUCAACUCUUUUUCUUGCAAUGGGCAACUAGCUUUAAACCCCAUGCCAUCAAAGGGUUAUCCAGCCUCCAUUGUCGUUUCACUCAGACUUAUUGACAGCAUUGUUAGGGGAGCCGUUCUGCCGACGAGACCUCCUUAUAUAGUUGCUUCAUGGGUAACGUCUAUCUCAGUCGUUCCACUACAGGCCCCUGUAGCACUUAUAUUAGAACUCGGCAUACAGUCACUGACGUGUUUUGUUGCUUUUAUAUGCGCUGAGCUGAACAGAGAGACGAAGUCAAAAACGUUUCUGGAUUCUCUGCCGCUGCGACAGCCGAGCAAUUGUGCAUAGGCCCCAUACGAAGCUGAUUUUCUGUCGC
rnacentral:lncRNA from 1 species